GUGACCUGGAAGUUCAGGUCACUAUUUAACUGAACUUAAUUAAGGUACUGAGAUACAACCUGUAAGGCAAGACUAAUUAAGCCACUGAACAAGUUUACCUUCUGCGGUAAUUUCCCAGAAGAGUAAUACUGGUUGGAACACCACCUGGAUUAGAGAGACUAUUAAAAAUAUAACAACUUUGUUUCCAAAUGGAAACAAACCACCUUAAAAACAGGAAACACUGAUAAAUUAAUUAAAAAAUUUAGAUAAUCGCAUGAUCAGCUUUUUGUUUAAUGUCUUACUUGAAUAAAAUAAACGUGAAACAAAAACACAAAGGACAAAAUGUUCCUAGAAAAUAACUGACAGCAAGAAGGUCCAUAUAAACUGUACAUCUGAUAUAAGAGGUAUUUUAUGACAAGCGUAGUGUAUCCAUGACCAUGUUCUAUUUAACACAACUGAAACCUGCAUGGUGUGAGCCAAAAAUGUGUUAAGAAUGUAGAAUACAAACUAAUAUAUCCAGCUUUACAGCACAUUCAAGUACUGUCUCGCACAACUUUGCAAAGUAAAUGCAGAAGUAAAAGUACUUCUGCAGUUGCCUAAGUUUCACAUGAAAGUUUCUACAAUUUUCUUUUCCUGAAAUUUAGCAGUUGGCAAAAGUUUCCCCGGAAAUUUUUUCUGUGUUUUUAUAGGGUACCAGAGAUAAGUAAAACGAACCAUAAUAAUAACAGACACAAUAUGAUUAAACAUUUUUGUACCAUUCUAAAGUCAUUUGGAAAAUUUUGAUUCUCCUACUUUUUUUACAAGAUUCACAUUUUAUGCGAUAUAUUUCUAAUUCAAAAAUACAAAAUAAUGGUACUCAUCGGAAAUUUUGGCAUCAACUAUUUAGCUGUAAUAUAGUUAAUAUAUUAACUAUAAUAAACCCCAAAGAUAAAACAAAAAAGUCAAAAGCUAAAUCCAGCUAUAUUUCUUCGCUUUUUUUGAUUGUUUCAUGCCCAACUCCAGGUACAAAAUAGGGUCUCUGUGUAUUGACCACUGUCAACUCACACCGUCAGGGGAACAUUUUGAUGCAUUUCCUCCUUCAUAUUUAUAUGCCACUUCUUUUCAAAACAAGAAUUCACAAAUCAGAUUGUUUCAGCUGCGACAGACUGGCGGCCUGUCCAGGGUGAACCCCGCCUCUCGCCCGAAACGUAGCUGGAGAUAGACACCAGCAGCCCUCCAGACCCCAUUAGGGACAAGGGUGAACAAAAAAUGGAUGGAUGGAGAUUGUUUCAGACUUCGACCGGGGCAGAGAACAUUACAAAAAUAAGAAAGAUAUUUACAUGUUUUUUGCAAGUACUCAAACUAUGCCACGAUUGAUCUGAUUAGUUACCGUAGUCUCAUAACACAAGCAAUAAAUUUGCAUUUAAACCCAACUACAGUGCAUGUUUUUUUAUAACAUACAUCACACUAAUAAGAAAAGGUGCACAUAUAAAGGUUGUAGAGCUGUAUUUUAAACUCAACUCUCACUGUAUUUUAGAAAACAUAGCAACAAUAUUUGAUUUUCAAGACAGAGACGGAGGGAAGCGUUUUUUAGCCAUCACCAUCUUACUUUCAUUUAGUUCUUGUGAAGGGUGAACUUGCACAAUAUCUGUAAAAUUCUCAUGUGCUGUCAUCAAAUGAUUAUAAAUGUUUAAGAUUCUUUAGCCACAAACUAAACACAGCAUACCUGAACACCAAACAAACAAACACGUUAGAUAGUUAUUAAAUAUUCUUUGCAUUCUGACACGCCAACUGAGAAACGUAUGAAGAAUACAUUUGCUCAGCUUUUGAAUUUCAACAGCCUUGAGCAACAGGUUCACAAAUAAAAGCUGUAGGGCUGCAUUUUCCAGGAAGUGGUAGCUUCCUCUGUAGAUAACAUUUUUCAUUUUUUUUGGUUUGAGAAUUGGUCCCACCCACCGUAACAGACUCUGUGGUUCAUCCCUUCAGUCAUAUUUCGUAGAACACUGUUGCCUUUGAGAGCAUCAAGCCAACCACAGCAGCACAGUCUGCAGAAACCGAAGAUGUCUAGAAAAAUGCCAAGUCUCUGUCUAGCUCUGCUCCUAACCCUCACCUCGGCGCAAGCAGCACA